UGAAUUAUCUAAAUCAUACAUUUUGACAAUAACUGGAGCAGUUUUUUUUUUUUUUUUUUCCCUUUUUUUGUGUGUGUUUAAUCUCAUAUUUCAUACAACAAUUUCUCAAAAACUUUCAGCACAUCAGAUUGCAAGGCAAUGGCCAUCCAUGAGCUCCCAGUAUUAGUUGGGCUUGGUAUAAUAUUUGCAUGACCAGAUUCGGACUCUUGAAAGCCUGAGCCCCAGGAGCAAGGCCAGAAUAUCAGCCUGAAGCUCAAGAAAAUCUAUGGUCGAUCACAAAUAAGCAUCGUCAAUCUGGUUCGUAAACCAGAUUGGCAACAUACCGCGUUGGUUUGGGUAGAUGAUGACCAGCCGAAAGCGAUAGGUGAGGUGUCAAAAAUCCCAUUGCCACGAUAACCAAGUGGAGCAUUCAGUCGCAAUCUGGACCUUGUAUCUACGGGGACGUAUAAUCUGGAAGAAAUUUUAAUUGCACUACGGAAAAAUCUUUACACGGUUUCAUAAUUUUUAUAUUUUAAUAAUCUCCUUAUUGAAUGUUUUUUAUUUUUUAUUUUUUUAGAGGAAUUUUAUCGAAAUCUCUCUCUACCUGUCUUCCUCUUCUAUGCUUCAUUUUCAUUGUCAGAAUUUUAAUAAAUGGCAUCCUCGGCAAGCCAUGGUGAUCUUCUCCUGUGGGGCUUCUUACUCGGAUGAGUGGAGGAAAAAAGCUUUUGACCCGAGAGUAAAAUUGGUUUGAUCCAAUAUUAUAAUAGCAUUGCAAUCUCUCUCUCACAUUUCUCUCGAUUCCACGACUCACAGCUUGCACGAAGCAACUUUGGUCUCUGUUUGAUUUUUUUUUUUUAAAUUUAUUAUGGACAUCUGGUUAUGAAUAUUGAAGCAUUGUGAAAUAAAUAAGUAAUGAAUUUAAUGUGAUGCCCAGUGGAAUAUGUUCGAUUUUGAUUCGUGAA